AACGAACGCUGGCGGCAUGCCUAACACAUGCAAGUCGAACGAGACCUUCGGGUCUAGUGGCGCACGGGUGCGUAACGCGUGGGAACCUGCCCUUAGGUUCGGAAUAACUCCCCGAAAGGGGUGCUAAUACCGGAUAAUGUCUUCGGACCAAAGAUUUAUCGCCUUUGGAUGGGCCCGCGUUGGCUUAGCUAGUUGGUAUGGUAAAAGCCUACCAAGGCGACGAUCCAUAGCUGGUCAGAGAGGAUGAUCAGCCACACUGGGACUGAGACACGGCCCAGACUCCUGCGGGAGGCAGCAGUGGGGAAUAUUGGACAAUGGGCUGAAGGCUGAUCCAGCAAUGCCGCGUGAGUGAUGAAGGCCUUAGGGUUGUAAAGCGCUUUUACCCGGGAUGAUAAUGACAGUACCGGGAGAAUAAGCUCCGGCUAACUCCGUG
rnacentral:rRNA from 1 species